CAAGAGAGCUUGUAUUGGUCCUAUCACAUGAGGACAUAGAAUGAAGCUGCCAUCUAUAAAUCACAGAGGUCCUCUCCCCAGGACUCUACCAUAGAUGUCCUUGUCUGCUUCUCAAGUGCUCUGUGAUGCUGAUGCUGGCCUGGAACUGCAGAAAUGUGCCUAAGCCUUAACCUCCCUGGAAGAAAUUCAGAGACCCAAGAGCCAACAAGAAAGUCACACCUGUUUAGUGAAAAGAACAAGCAAACACCAGCCCAGGCGGGUUCUCAGCCCAGAGCAUCUAACCCUCGCUCCAGGCUGAAGGCAGAAGAGAGGGGCCAUAUCCAUGAAAACAUUGUGGAGAGCUUUCAAGUGACAAGAGGAGGUGACUCAAGGUCGAGGUGUUGAUGAGCUUCCUAGAAGGGUCACCUAGGGAUGCUGAUGUGGACUACACCAGUGAACUAAGUCCCUGGGUAUGUUCUGAGUCAUUGCUGCCCAUUCCCUUUGACUGCCUCUCGGAUGGUAUGGGAGAGCUAAGGCAUGCACCUGUAUCUGUGGAUUCUGUACUGACUGGCCCAAUGUGGACACUGGUUGAUGAUGCUAUUUGGGGGCAGCGGAUCAGCAUCAUGAUGUAUUUCAGACGAGUCAUUAAGCUCUCUGGGCCCUGGGAGUUCUGCCCUAACAACUGGAGAGGUGAUAUGACUCCUUUCUGCCUCCUUGGAUCCCUGUGAGGAGAACAAUAUUUAUGACAGCCUGGAGCUAGGGGAUUUGGGAUGAGAUUUGUAGCACUACGUUAUCCAACUUUUAACUUCCUGUCUCUUCGGGUUAAUGACAUUCUCCAUCCGGCCCAGCAGUGCUGUUCUGUGCUGGAGACACUUAUCCACCUCUCCCACCUUCUGAGUCUUUUCGAGGGACAGCAGAAUCAUCUUGAUUUCAAGGAUACUUGAAGCCUCACCUGAGGUCGUACUUAGCAGCCCCUACCACCCACAGUAGGAAGGGUCGUUGACUGGGAGUUUGUACUGGUUGAACUGCGCCCACGGGCAGGAGGCCUGCUGAUUCUGCUUAGUCUAUACACAGUAUGUGCUCAGCAACACCAGAUAGGAACUCAGGCGACAUCUUAGUUACUUUUCUGUUGCUGGGAUAAAACAGUAUGCCUGACAUAACUGUAAAAGAAAGUGUUUAGUUUUAGAGGGUUUGUGUCCAUGAUGGCUGAGCAAAAGAAGGGCAGCAAAACCAGCUGUCCUUGUCAGGGUCUCCAUUGCUGUGAAGUGAAACCAUGACCAAGGCAACUCUUAUAAAGGACAACAGGUUUAGAGGUUCAAUCCAUUAUCAUUCAGGCAGGAAGCAUGGCAUCUGGAGAAGGAGAGGAGAGUUCUACAUCUUGUUCUAAAGGGAACCAGGAGAAGACUGUCUCCAGGCAGCUUGCGGGAGGGUCUCAUAGCCCACCCCACAAAGUGACACACUUCCUCCAACAAGUCCACACCCACUCCAACAAGGCCACACCUCCAAAUAGUGCCACUCUCUGGGCCAAGCAUAUUCAAACACAUGAGUCUAUGAGGACCAAACCCAUUCAAAUCACUACAGCAGCCAAGAGCUCAAGUCUCCAACCGAAAACAGGAGGCCGAAAAAAGACAGUGCACUCUAAAUGGUGCAAGUCUUUCUAAAGCCUCAAAGCUUGACCACAGUGAUAUAUUUCCUCCAGUAAGACCACACCUGUAAUCUACCCUGAACAGUCUGCCUAUCAAGGACCAUGUAUUUGAUCAUGUGAACCUAUAAGGGACAUCCUUAUUACAGCACUGGCAACAAGAGCCCUCAUGUUGUUGGAUCACGUGGUUACUUCGUGGUGGGGCCUGUGUUCCUAUAGUCCCAGGGUCCUGCUUAAUGAAUUACCUUCAACCCCUCAGUCCUCCCAAUGGUCAGACUCAAGAUAUACAUCCCAAUACAGGCAACCUCAACACCUGCCUGUCCCCUGCAAGGGCCCACCAUGAGCUCAGUGUUCCAGAAACAACGGAGGUCAUCUCUUGCAGUGACCUCAGAGGCAAACACACUGACUGAGAAACACCUUUGAGAGAGAAGGCCAUUUAACACCCAAGAGAGUGGAAUGGAGGGAGAGACUGGUGAAACGGUGAAGACCCAGCCAGGACAAUGAGAGCAGCCAGGCUGCAAAGGAUCGACCCACUCCAAGGAGU
rnacentral:lncRNA from 1 species